rnacentral:rRNA from 1 species
CCUACGGGGGGCAGCAGUGGGGAAUAUUGGACAAUGGGGGGAACCCUGAUCCAGCCAUGCCGCGUGUGUGAAGAAGGCCCUCGGGUUGUAAAGCACUUUCAGUGAGGAAGAACGCCUGGUGGUUAAUACCCAUCAGGAAAGACAUCACUCACAGAAGAAGCACCGGCUAACUCCGUGCCAGCAGCCGCGGUAAUACGGAGGGUGCGAGCGUUAAUCGGAAUUACUGGGCGUAAAGCGCGCGUAGGUGGCUUGAUAAGCCGGUUGUGAAAGCCCCGGGCUCAACCUGGGAACGGCAUCCGGAACUGGCAAGCUAGAGUGCAGGAGAGGAAGGUAGAAUUCCCGGUGUAGCGGUGAAAUGCGUAGAGAUCGGGAGGAAUACCAGUGGCGAAGGCGGCCUUCUGGACUGACACUGACGCUGAGGUGCGAAAGCGUGGGUAGCAAACAGGAUUAGAUACCCUGGUAGUC